AUAAUUACUGUUAGGAUUGGAAAUCAUUGAAAUUAUCAUCACAACAGAGAAAUGGAUCUUACCAUGUAUGUAUGGAGUCACAUCCUAAAAGGAAAAAUUUGGAGAAAAAUAUAUGAUAGCAAAAAUAUUUUCCAGUGGCAGCAUUUAGUCCAUAGGCCAUGGCGAGAAAUUUCCAGUCUGAGCAGCAGUACCUUAGGAAAACAAAAUGAAAAAUGCUUCAUUGGGUGAACCAUUUCCUGUUUCAAGUUGAAUGGAUCCUAAUUCACAGUGGACCUAUCAUGUACUGAGACAUAUAAACACUGAUUGGCAGAAGGAUAUUUCUUUCCUCAUCUGGUAAAACCAUCCUCAACUCAUGGUAUGCCUCGUCUGAAAUCAAGCCUUC